AGGGGUUGAUUGCGGCUU
rnacentral:snRNA from 1 species